UGGGAUAGCUCAGUUGG
rnacentral:tRNA from 2 species